CCCCCUCCGCGUCGUCCCACGCCGCUCCCCUCCCCCACUGUCGCGAAGCUCCCGCCCGAGCGGACCACGUGCCGGGAACCGGGCGGGGAGAGACCACUCUUGAACCCCUUCCGGCCUCCUCGAACACGCCAGGCUGCAGCCCAUGGUCCCUGGGCCGGGUCGCCUCAGAAUGGAACAGCAACACAUAUAAGUCACUGCCAGUACAGCAGAAAGCAUGGUUUCUUCUAAACUGAGGAUCAUAUUUAGAGUACCCCAAAUCAAGACACAGUGGCCCACAAGAGGACAAUUUUUGAGGCCAUUUGGAGGAGAUCCUGGGACCAAUUUGAAAAAGAGCCAGAUCCUGCUCUGAUCUUUGGAGACUUCAGAUAUUCUGGAUCAAGUCUAGAGUCUAUGAACUUGAAAUUGUCUCCGUGAGGGUCAUUCUGCCCGCAUUUGCCUUUGGGAACUUGCAAGGGGACACAUGUCCUUCAGGACUUCUGCUUGCUUUGUUGGGAAGUGCCCUUGGUGACUGAUGGUUGCUGCCCCAUCACCCUGUGAGGAUGAAAGGGCAUAACCUGAUUAAAAAUGCCAGCACUUGCUUCUAGAGACUGUCACAUUUCUUGGCUUGUGGUUCCCUCCCUCCAUCUUCAAAGCCAGCAAUGUUGCAUCUGUCUGAA